GGACGAACGCUGGCGGCGUGCCUAACACAUGCAAGUCGAGCGAAGUGUUUAGAGAAGAUUUCUUCGGAAUGAUUCUCUAAACAUCUUAGCGGCAAACGGGUGAGUAACGCGUGAGGAACCUGCCUUUCACAAAGGGAUAGCCUCGGGAAACUGGGAUUAAUACCUUAUGAUACUGAUAUGGCGCAUGCCAAAUUAGUUAAAGCGCAAAGCGGUGAAAGAUGGCCUCGCGUCCCAUUAGCUAGUUGGUGAGGUAAAGGCUCACCAAGGCUGCGAUGGGUAACCGGCCUGAGAGGGUGAACGGUCACACUGGAACUGAGACACGGUCCAGACUCCUACGGGAGGCAGCAGUGGGGAAUAUUGCACAAUGGAGGAAACUCUGAUGCAGCGACGCCGCGUGAGUGAAGAAGGCUUUCGAGUCGUAAAACUCUGUCCUUGGGGACGAUAAUGACGGUACCCAAGGAGGAAGCCCCGGCUAACUACGUGCCAGCAGCCGCGGUAAUACGUAGGGGGCGAGCGUUGUCCGGAAUUAUUGGGCGUAAAGGGUUCGCAGGCGGCCAAAUAAGUCAGAUGUGAAAUCCCACGGCUUAACCGUGGUAAGCAUUUGAAACUGUACGGCUUGAGUUAAGGAGAGGAAAGUGGAAUUCCUGGUGUAGCGGUGUAAUGCGUAGAUAUCGGGAAGAACACCAGUGGCGAAGGCGGCUUCCUGGACUGUAACUGACGCUGGGGCGCGAAAGCUGGGGGAGCGAACAGGAUUAGAUACCCUGGUAGUCCCAGCCGUAAACGAUGAACACUAGGUGUGGGAGAUAUCGACCCCUCCCGUGCCGCAGCAAACGCAUUAAGUGUUCCGCCUGGGGAGUACGGCCGCAAGGCUA
rnacentral:rRNA from 1 species